GCUACCAUAGCUCAGUGGUUCGAGCACUGGUCUCUUAUGACCAGGGGUCGUGCGGUUCCAAUCCUCGCAGGUAUUU